UUUGCUGGGCCCCAGAGCAUUCCAAGCAGGUGGACCUGUCCAGUCCCGGGUUGACACAACAUCCCGGGGGUCCGAGGCCCCCGGCCCCCCGCCCCCUGACCCAAAUCCUCCUCGCUCCCCUUCCCGCCACCGUUUGGACCGAGGAAGUCGUCGUCCUCCGUUCUCUAUCGGGCGCCUGCGGUGGCGAGGGGGAGCGAUGUCUUAGGACGGCGCGAAGGAGACCGUCCCUUCCGGUUCUUCCCGGUCCUUCCUGGAAUACGGAUUCCGAGCCGGCGCAAGGAGCCAGGAGCGGGAUCCCGAGGAGACUUCACUGAGGCCGCCCCGGUGGGAGGCCGGUGGCCCCGCGCGGCCUUCGCGCCCGUCGUCCUCUUCCUCCUCCCCCGCCCCGGACCCCCGCCCCGGACCCCC